GACGAACGCUGGCGGCGUGCUUAACACAUGCAAGUCGAGCGGUAAGGCCCUUUCGGGGUACACGAGCGGCGAACGGGUGAGUAACACGUGGGUGACCUGCCCUCAGCUCUGGGAUAAGCCUGGGAAACCGGGUCUAUACCGGAUAUGACUCCAUGACGCAUGUUGUGGGGUGGAAAGCCGUUGUGCGGCUGAGGAUGGGCCCGCGGCCUAUCAGCUUGUUGGUGGGGUGAUGGCCUACCAAGGCGACGACGGGUAGCCGG
rnacentral:rRNA from 1 species